rnacentral:rRNA from 1 species
GACGAACGCUGGCGGCGUGCUUAACACAUGCAAGUCGAACGGUCAACCUCUUCGGAGGGGCUUAGUGCCGAACGGGUGAGUAACACGUUGGCAACCUGCCCCCGGCUCUGGGAUAACUCCAAGAAAUCGGGGCUAAUACCGGAAGUUCACCGCUUCCCGCAUGGGUGGUGGUGGAAAGGGUUUCCGGCUGGGUAUGGUCCCGCGGCCUAUCAGCUUGUUGGUGUGGUAGUGGCCUACCAAGGCGACGACGGGUAGCCGGCCUGAGAGGGGGACCGGCGACACUGCGCCUGAGGCACGGACCAGUCUCCUACGUGAGGCAGCAGGGGGGAAUAUUGCGCAACGGGCGGAAGCCUGACGUAGCGACGCCGCGUGGGGGAUGCUGUCCUUCGGGUUGUAAACCUCUUUCUGCAGGGACGAAGCGCAAGUGACGGUACCUGCAGAAGAAGCACCGGCCAACUACGUG